GAGGCUGAGGCAGGAGAAUCGCUUGAACCCAGGAGGCGGAGGCUGCAGUGAGCCAAGAUCAUGUCACUGUACUACAGCAUGGGCCACAGACUGAGACUCUGCGUGCAAUAAUUAAAAAAAAUAAAG